GACGAACGCUGGCGGCGUGCUUAACACAUGCCAGUCGAACGGAAAGGCCUGCUUUCCCUUGUGGAUUGCGGGUACUCGAGUGGCGAACGGGUGAGUAACACGUGAGUGAUCUGCCCCCAACUUGGGUAUAAGCCUGGGAAACUGGGUCUAAUUCCCGAUAGGACUGCAGGGUGGUGCCUGUGGUGGAAAACGAUUUUCUAGUGGUUGGGGAUGAGCUCGCGGCCUAUCAGCUUGUUGGUGGGGUAAUGGCCUACCAAGGCGGCGACGGGUAGCCGGCCUGAGGUGGUGUACGUGGUCUGUGGGACUGAGCUACGACCCAGACUCCGACGCGCGGCAGCAGUUGCGACUAUUGGCCGAUGGGGGGAAGCCUGAUGCAGCGGCGCAGCGCGGGCGAUGCCAGGCUUCGGGUUGUAAGCUCCUUUCGGCCGCGAGGAAGCCUUCUGGUUGGGAGGGUGGUGACGGUAGUGGUAGAAGAAGCCCCGGCUAACUACGUG
rnacentral:rRNA from 1 species